CUAAGCUCUCUCAUGCAUUGCUGUGUCUUCAUGCUACAGCUAGAACGGGGCAAAUAUAAAGAAACAUGGAGGGAAACAGAGUGGAAUGAGAAAAGUAAGCAACUGUUCAAAGUCCUGUGCAGGCACCUGAGCCACUGGAAUGAAGUAUCAAGCUGUUUUCCUGCACAUGGAAAGACAUCUGAGAUGCUGUGAGCCUUGGAAGUAAUGGAUGGAAAGAAAGAUUCUGUCACCAUAUUGGAUGGCCCAGCACAGACUGAACUGCAAAAGGCAUAGCUGGUCCAGUUGGCCAGUGUCUCAAGGGGUCUCAUUUAUAAACUUUGCAUGGA